rnacentral:rRNA from 1 species
GACGAACGCCGGCGGCGUGCCUAAUACAUGCAAGUCGAGCGGACAGAAGGGAGCUUGCUCCCGGAAGUUAGCGGCGGACGGGUGAGUAACACGUGGGCAACCUACCCUGUAGAUCGGGAUAACAUCGAGAAAUCGGUGCUAAUACCGGAUAAUCAUUUGAAGUGCAUGCUUCGAAUGUAAAAGAUGGCUCCGGCUAUCGCUACGGGAUGGGCCCGCGGCGCAUUAGCUAGUUGGUAAAGUAAUGGCUUACCAAGGCAACGACGCGUAGCCGACCUGAGAGGGUGAGCGGCCACACUGGGACUGAGACACGGCCCAGACUCCUACGGGAGGCAGCAGUAGGGAAUCUUCCGCAAUGGACGAAAGUCUGACGGAGCAACGCCGCGUGAGUGAUGAAGGUUUUCGGAUCGUAAAGCUCUGUUGUUAGGGAAGAACAAGUGCCGUUUGAAUAAGGCGGCACCUUGACGGUACCUAACCAGAAAGCCACGGCUAACUACGUGCCAGCCGCCGCUGUAACAC